rnacentral:rRNA from 1 species
AUUGAACGCUGGCGGCAUGCUUUACACAUGCAAGUCGAACGGCAGCGCGGGCUUCGGCCUGGCGGCGAGUGGCGAACGGGUGAGUAAUACAUCGGAACGUGCCCAGUAGUGGGGGAUAGCUCGGCGAAAGCCGGAUUAAUACCGCAUACGACCUGAGGGUGAAAGCGGGGGAUCUUCGGACCUCGCGCUAUUGGAGCGUCCGAUGGCAGAUUAGCUAGUUGGUGGGGUAAAGGCCUACCAAGGCGACGAUCUGUAGCUGGUCUGAGAGGACGACCAGCCACACUGGGACUGAGAAACGGCCCAGACUCCUACGGGAGGCAGCAGUGGGGAAUUUUGGACAAUGGGCGAAAGCCUGAUCCAGCAAUGCCGCGUGUGUGAUGAAGGCCUUAGGGUUGUAAAGCACUUUUGGCGGGAACGAAAAGGACUGUGCCAAUACCACGGUUCGAUGACGGUACCCGCAGAAUAAGCACCGGCUAACUACGUG